AUGCACGCUGGCGGCGUGCCUAAUACCUGCCAGUCGAGCGAACAGAUGAGGAGCUUGCUCCUCUGACGUUAGCGGCGGACGGGUGAGUAACACGUGGAUAACCUACCUAUAAGACUGGGAUAACUUCGGGAAACCGGAGCUAAUACCGGAUAAUAUAUUGAACCGCAUGGUUCAAUAGUGAAAGACGGUUUUGCUGUCACUUAUAGAUGGAUCCGCGCCGCAUUAGCUAGUUGGUAAGGUAACGGCUUACCAAGGCAACGAUGCGUAGCCGACCUGAGAAGGUGAUCGGCCACACUGGAACUGAGACACGGUCCAGACUCCUACGGGAGGCAGCAGUAGGGAAUCUUCCGCAAUGGGCGAAAGCCUGACGGAGCAACGCCGCGUGAGUGAUGAAGGUCUUCGGAUCGUAAAACUCUGUUAUUAGGGAAGAACAAAUGUGUAAGUAACUAUGCACGUCUUGACGGUACCUAAUCAGAAAGCCACGGCUAACUACGUG
rnacentral:rRNA from 1 species